rnacentral:sRNA from 1 species
ACAGCGAAAGGAGGUGGUUCGGCGAAUGUAUGAAAACCGGACAGCUGAGGUGGCUGCGGGCUAGCGGCCCGUCGUCGUACUCGGUUCGGCGCCGGAUCAGCGCGUGCGAGCAACGCGCAGCCGGCCAAUCCCACGCAGUCACCCGACCCGCGAGCUCGCCGGUACGUCCGGCCGGCUUCUCCGCCGUCAGGCGGAGGACCUGGGCUCGCGGGUCGUCUGCG